rnacentral:misc_RNA from 1 species
UGGGGGGCUCAUUUUUGCAGGCUUUCUUCUCAAGCCUGCUCCCCUGAAAUGCAUUAGUGGUAUCUGGAGCGGAAACCGCUAGGUGUGAUAAUUAAUCGUCUACGCCUUUGGUAUGCCGCACGAAACAGAUUGUGCUGCUUCCAACACGCACUUUUGACAAACUUGACCUCAAAUCAGGUAGGACUACCCGCUGAACUUAA